rnacentral:misc_RNA from 1 species
GAAAUGCGAUAAGUAAUGUGAAUUGCAGAAUUCAGUGAAUCAUCGAAUCUUUGAACGCACAUUGCGCCCCUUGGUAUUCCGAGGGGCAUGCCUGUUCGAGCGUCAUUACAACCCUCAAGCUCUGCUUGGUAUUGGGCGUCACCAGCGAUGGUGCGCCUCAAAGACAGUGGCGGUGCCGUCUGGCUCUAAGCGUAGUAAUUCUCUCGCUAUGGACGCCCGGCGGAUGCUCGCCAGCAACCCCUAAUUUUUAAAGGUUGACCUCGGAUCAGGUAGGGAUACCCGCUGAACUUAA